rnacentral:rRNA from 1 species
UACAGAGGUCUCAAGCGUUGUUCGGAUUCAUUGGGCGUAAAGGGUGUGUAGGUGGCGCCGUAAGUCGGGUGUGAAAUUUCGGAGCUUAACUCCGAAACUGCAUUCGAUACUGCGGUGCUUGAGGACUGGAGAGGAGACUGGAAUUCAUGGUGUAGCAGUGAAAUGCGUAGAGAUCAUGAGGAAGACCAGUGGCGAAGGCGGGUCUCUGGACAGUUCCUGACACUGAGACCCGAAGGCCAGGGGAGCAAACGGG